rnacentral:pre_miRNA from 2 species
GUCUCCUCACCUUUUGAUUGUUGCUCAGAAAGCCAUCUCUAAAAAGCGUGGCUAUCGAGCAACAAUCAAAGAUUGAAGGAGAC